rnacentral:rRNA from 1 species
UACAGAGGGGGCAAGCGUUAUUCGGAAUUAUUGGGCGUAAAGGGCGCGUAGGCGGCUUGUCGCGUCGGAUGUGAAAGCCCGGGGCUUAACUCCGGGUCUGCAUUCGAUACGGGCAGGCUAGAGUCCGGAAGAGGAGAGUGGAAUUCCUGGUGUAGCGGUGAAAUGCGCAGAUAUCAGGAGGAACACCGGUGGCGAAGGCGGUUCUCUGGGCCUGUACUGACGCUGAGGCGCGAAAGCGUGGGGAGCAAACAGG